rnacentral:rRNA from 1 species
AUUGAACGCUGGCGGAAUGCUUUACACAUGCAAGUCGAACGGCAGCACGGACUUCGGUCUGGUGGCGAGUGGCGAACGGGUGAGUAAUGUAUCGGAACGUGCCCAGUCGUGGGGGAUAACGUAGUGAAAAUUACGCUAAUACCGCAUACGAUCUAUGGAUGAAAGCGGGGGAUCGCAAGACCUCGCGCGAUUGGAGAGGCCGAUAUCAGAUUAGGUAGUUGGUGGGGUAAAGGCCCACCAAGCCAACGAUCUGUAGCCGGUCUGAGAGGACGACCAGCCACACUGGAGCUGAGACACGGUCCAGACUCCUACGGGAGGCAGCAGUGGGGAAUUUUGGACAAUGGGCGAAAGCCUGAUCCAGCCAUUCCGCGUGCAGGAUGAAGGCCCUCGGGUUGUAAACUGCUUUUGUACAGAACGAAAAGGUUUCUACUAAUACUAGGAGCUCAUGACGGUACUGUAAGAAUAAGCACCGGCUAACUACGUGCCAGCCGCCGCCGUAA